rnacentral:rRNA from 1 species
AUUGAACGCUGGCGGCAUGCCUUACACAUGCAAGUCGAGCGGGGAAAAGUAGCUUGCUACUUAACCUAGCGGCGGACGGGUGAGUAAUGCUUAGGAAUCUGCCUAUUAGUGGGGGACAACAUCUCGAAAGGGAUGCUAAUACCGCAUACGUCCUACGGGAGAAAGCAGGGGACCUUCGGGCCUUGCGCUAAUAGAUGAGCCUAAGUCGGAUUAGCUAGUUGGUGGGGUAAAGGCCUACCAAGGCGACGAUCUGUAGCGGGUCUGAGAGGAUGAUCCGCGACACUGGGACUGAGACACGGCCCAGACUCCUACGGGAGGCAGCAGUGGGGAAUAUUGGACAAUGGGGGGAACCCUGAUCCAGCCAUGCCGCGUGUGUGAAGAAGGCCUUUUGGUUGUAAAGCACUUUAAGCGAGGAGGAGGCUACCGAGAUUAAUACUCUUGGAUAGUGGACGUUACUCGCAGAAUAAGCACCGGCUAACUCUGUGCCAGCAGCCGCCGUAACAC